rnacentral:rRNA from 1 species
GUGGUUUAAUUCGAAGCAACGCGAAGAACCUUACCAGGUCUUGACAUCCUCUGACAACCCUAGAGAUAGGGCUUUCCCCUUCGGGGGACAGAGUGACAGGUGGUGCAUGGUUGUCGUCAGCUCGUGUCGUGAGAUGUUGGGUUAAGUCCCGCAACGAGCGCAACCCUUGAUCUUAGUUGCCAGCAUUCAGUUGGGCACUCUAAGAUGACUGCCGGUGACAAACCGGAGGAAGGUGGGGAUGACGUCAAAUCAUCAUGCCCCUUAUGACCUGGGCUACACACGUGCUACAAUGGACGGUACAAAGGGCUGCAAGACCGCGAGGUUUAGCCAAUCCCAUAAAACCGUUCUCAGUUCGGAUUGUAGGCUGCAACUCGCCUACAUGAAGCUGGAAUCGCUAGUAAUCGCGGAUCAGCAUGCCGCGGUGAAUACGUUCCCGGGCCUUGUACACACCGCCCGUCACACC